UGUUUAUUGAGUGCUUGUUCGUCUGUUCUGCGCAGUGGAACUCGUGCUGGCGUAGUGGACAGGGUGCAAGGGGCAGGGUUCCAUUGAAGACAUUUUGAAACGUUUGUCAGUUUCUUCUUUUUGCUUUCCCGUUUCUUUUAGUAAUGAGUGUUUCUAUAGUUCUGGAUGAAUCCGCUGAUUACGGGGGCAACAGGUGUUUGAUAAAUCAGUUUCCUCUGAUAAACCAACCGGUUCUGUACAACUGUAAUCUUGCUGUUGCCAGUCGCUCCAGCGCUUUUAAAUACACCACAUGCAGGACAGGACAGCCUCGAGACGAGUGUCAGCUCAUUUCAACCACGUUUGUUUUAGUGUUGCUGCGUGAUGGAGUUUUUACUGUGUUUAAUAAGUCAAAGCUGUGUGGUUCCCUUCUCCCUCUCCCCCUCGCUCUGUAGCCAGGGUGUCCCUCCCCAGCACCCCGAUUUCGCGGGCGGUGCCCCCUCCUCGGAGUCGUUACACUGUCACCCCCGUUGGCCUUGCCAGUUGUGUGUCCGGCUGUCGUCCCUCUGUCUGUCAAUCAGUGCGGAGCCCGAGUGAAUCCGCUUCACCCCCCAGCUGAAAGAAGACGCACUGUGAGUCUGGAGACGCUGGCAGCACACCACUAUAACCAGCAGAGGGUGCAGGUCAUGCAGCAGAAGGAAUACUGCAGCUGUUCUCAGGGUGGAGAUGUUGUGCAGCGGGUGUUGAGAGGGUACCUGGAACUGACGGGUGAAUCCUGCAUUGGAAUCAGCUGCUAGAGCCCUGCAGUGCUGCUGGAAGAGCUGCAGAGGGACUGGAGACCAGCUGCUCCUGAGAGAGGCUUCAACUGUGCACUCUGAAUCUCUAACUGAACUGAGAGAGGAGGGAGGGAGGGAGAGAGAGAGAGGCUUCAACUGUGAACUCUGAAUCUAACUGAACUGAGAGAGAGAGAGAGAGAGAGGCGCUUCAACUGUGCACUCUGAAUCUAACUGAACUGAGAGAGAGAGGGGCUUCAACUGUGAACUCUGAAUCUCUAACUGAACUGAGAGAGGAGAGAGAGAGGCUUCAACUGUGCAUUCUGAAUCUCUAACUGAACUGAGAGAGGAGAGAGAGAGACUUCAACUGUGCACUUUGAAUCUAACUGAACUGAGAGAAAGAGAGAGAGGCGCUUCAACUGUGCACUCUGAAUCUAACUGAACUGAGAGAAAGAGAGAGAGGCGCUUCAACUGUGCACUCUGAAUCUAACUGAACUGAGAGAGAGAGAGAGGCUUCAUCUGUGAACUCUGAAUCUAACUGAACUGAGAGAGAGAGAGAGAGAGAGAGAGAGAGAGAGGCGCUUCAACUGUGCACUCUGAAUCUCUAACUGAACUGAGAGGAGGGAGAGAGGGAGAGAGAGAGAGGCUUCAGCUGUGAACUCUGAAUCUAACUGAACUGAGAGAGGAGAGAGAAGCUUCAACUGCGCACUCUGAAUCUCUAACUGAACAGAGAGGAGAGAGAGAGGCUUCAGCUGUGAACUCUGAAUCUCUAACUGAACUGAGAGGAGAGAGAGAGAGGCUUCAACUGUGAACUCUGAAUCUCUAACUGAACAGAGAGAGAGAGAGAGGCUUCAGCUGUGAACUCUGAAUCUCUAACUGAACUGAGAGAGGAGAGAGAGAGGCUUUGGCUGUGCACUCUGAAUCUAACUGAACUGAGAGAGGAGAGAGAGAGGCUUCAACUGUGAACUCUGAAUCUCUAACUGAACUUUUAACACCCCUUUAUCAUAUCAAAAAUAUAUUAAAAGCAAUCUACAUAAUUAACCAACAAGAAAAAUGCAAAACAAAAAAAAUGUUCAAUUAAUAGCACAACC